UACGAAGGGUGCGAGCGUUGUUCGGAAUUAUUGGGCGUAAAGCGCACGUAGGCGGGCGCAUAAGUCGGAUGUGAAAUCCCUGGGCUUAACCUAGGAAUUGCAUCCGAAACUGUGUGUCUUGAAUGCUUGAGAGGAUGACGGAAUUCCUGGUGUAGAAGUGAAAUUCGUAGAUAUCAGGAGGAACACCGGAGGCGAAGGCGGUUGUCUGGCGAUGCAUUGACGCUGAGGUGCGAAAGCGUGGGGAGCAAACAGG
rnacentral:rRNA from 1 species